GGUCCGCACGGCUUUGGAUAAUCCUCGGAGAGAGCGAUGCGGGAGAGCUGAGAGGCGUGCUGCUGCGCGAGUCUGAGAGAAACUGUGAGAGACUGUGGGAUAAAAUGGUAAAGUUGGAGCAAAGAAUGAGAGGAGGAGGUGCAGGGUCUAUCGUCCAAUAAAAACGCUCGGCGCUAGUUUUGACCGUGUGUUUUUUCCUCACGCAAGCGUUUGUAUCACAUCGGCGUAUGGCGCCAAUUUGUAAAGGUCAUAAGUCGAGACAUACAUCGAGUCUGUCAAUUUGUCCGCCAGUAAAUUCUGCAGGGCCGUGCCACCUGGCCAUCGAGGCGCCCCCCUACCCGGCCACGCGGGUCAUACAUCGAGUCUGACACUUUUGCCCUCCAGUAAAUUCUGUUUAAAGUUUUGUUUUCACAUACGUCCCAAAUUACAGAUAAUUUUCUUACACAGGCACGAGUAGCAUCAUCAAGGCCGUACCACCUGGUCAUACAUCAAGUCUGACAAUUUCCCCGCCAGUAAAUUCUGUUUAUAGUUUUGUUUGUCAUACAUGACCCUGCAGAUAUGGGGUGACAGAGACAAUUAAAUUGUAUUGCGGCGAGCGGGGGGGCCUAUUCCUCCUAGGGCAGAGGCACAAGUAUCUUCGAGGUCUUACCCUUCCUGCCAGCCAAAGAGGUUCAUCCAGGCCUUACCCGAGAGAGAGACUGCGCUGACCGGUCAAGAGAAAAUCUACAAGAGACCUGAAUCAGCAGUGUUAUAAAGCACAUAGCCAACGCUAAUUAAUAAAGAAUUUAAGCAUAAUAGCCCAGACGUACCAUGGCCUAUAGCUGGUAGAAACGGAGCUAUCCUACGGCCUACAAGAUAAAAGCAUAUGGCACCAAAUUGGAAUCAGUAGUCUUUAAAAGAAUAAAUGGACUAGCAACUGUCUCUGGGGGAGCAGCCCCGGUUAGGUACUAUUAAGCAGCAUUUAGUGACAUGCAUCAAAACACAUUUUUUAAAACUUUGACAGAAUAAAGUCUUAGUUAUUUUAAUAAAUAUGUUUUUCAGUAAAUGUUUAUUCACGCGCAUGCGGACAAACACACACCCCGGAGGUCAAACUAAAAAAAAGUUGAUACAAACUACAGUUGUAUCGGACACGCACACAAAAACACGAGAGUUUGCUCAAUCAAAAAACACCAAACAUAUAUAGUUCACGUUUUUUAUUAAAAUGUAUAAGGAUUGUUUUCUUAUAGCGAAAUUUUAAAUUAAUAUGAGUGGGAUAUAAGUCAUUUAGGCAACAGGAUUUGAGGAAGAACCUAAAUAGCAGCUAGAAAUGACCGACCAGGCAGGCAGAAGUCUGCUUUUCUUAUCUCACAAGUCAUGGAAGGGUGGGAGGGGGGCCACAUAAGUGUAGGGUAGGAACUGUGGAAUCAGGCAGGGGUGCAAGAAUUUAGGAUAUAGUCUUGUUAUUUUAAAGAAGGUGUACAUGAUUAUUUAAUUACAUUUAAUAGGAACCAGUAAGCUGCAUUUAGCACCAUGCUGCAAAUACACAUAAAAAAAAACUUUAAAGAAUAAGGUCUUAGUUAUUUUAAUAAAGACAUCCUACAAGGUACCCACGGCCCCAGCUUAUAUAAUCUACAAGCUUGAUCUGAGAUGCUUGCUGGAGUACAAUGCUAAGUUGACAACGGUAACGGAGCUGCAUAUUGUUUGAUAGUUAUGAAACAUAGUUCAAAUUCAACAGUGUCAGCAGUCAUCCACUAUGCAGGGAGACUACAGAUUGACUAUAACGACCCCAUUUAUCUGCUGGAAUUAUUUAAAAAAAAAAAUUGACAUAAUAAAGCCUUAGUUAUUUUAAUAAA